rnacentral:rRNA from 1 species
GUCGUCAGCUCGUGUCGUGAGAUGUUGGGUUAAGUCCCGCAACGAGCGCAACCCUUGUCUUUAAUUGCCAGCAUUCAGUUGGGCACUUUAAAGAGACUGCCGGUGUUAAGCCGGAGGAAGGUGGGGAUGACGUCAAGUCCUCAUGGCCUUUAUGCCCAGGGCUACACACGUGCUACAAUGGGUGGUACAAAGGGUCGCAAUACCGCGAGGUGGAGCUAAUCCCAAAAAAGCCGGUCUCAGUUCGGAUUGGAGUCUGCAACUCGACUCCAUGAAGUCGGAAUCGCUAGUAAUCGCGUAUCAGCGUGACGCGGUGAAUACGUUCCCGGGCCUU